rnacentral:rRNA from 1 species
CUGGGCGUAAAGCGUGCGCAGGCGGUUUUUUAAGCCAGAUGUGAAAUCCCCGGGCUUAACCUGGGAACUGCAUUUGGAACUGGAAGACUAGAGUGUAGCAGAGGGGGGUAGAAUUCCACGUGUAGCAGUGAAAUGCGUAGAUAUGUGGAGGAAUACCGAUGGCGAAGGCAGCCCCCUGGGUUAACACUGACGCUCAUGCACGAAAGCGUGGGGAGCAAACAGGAUUAGAUACCCUGGUAGUCCACGCCCUAAACGAUGUCAACUAGGUGUUGGGGGAGGAGACUUCCUUAGUACCGCAGCUAACGCGUGAAGUUGACCGCCUGGGGAGUACGGUCGCAAGAUUAAAACUCAAAGGAAUUGACGGGGACCCGCACAAGCGGUGGAUUAUGUGGAUUAAUUCGAUGCAACGCGAAAAACCUUACCUACCCUUGACAUGCCAGGAACUUUCCAGAGAUGGAUGGGUGCCCGAAAGGGAACCUGGACACAGGUGCUGCAUGGCUGUCGUCAGCUCGUGUCRUGAGAUGUUGGGUUAAGUCCCGCAACGAGCGCAACCCUUGUCAUUAAUUGCCAUCAUUAAGUUGGGCACUUUAAUGA